UACAGAGGGGGCGAGCGUUGUUCGGAAUUACUGGGCGUAAAGGGCGCGUAGGCGGCCCGCUAAGUCGAACGUGAAAUCCCCAGGCUCAACCUGGGAACUGCGUCCGAUACUGGCAGGCUUGAAUCCGGGAGAGGGAUGUGGAAUUCCAGGUGUAGCGGUGAAAUGCGUAGAUAUCUGGAGGAACACCGGUGGCGAAGGCGGCCAUCUGGACCGGUACUGACGCUGAGGCGCGAAAGCUAGGGGAGCGAAUGGG
rnacentral:rRNA from 1 species